CCUACGGGAGGCAGCAGUGGGGAAUUUUGGACAAUGGGCGAAAGCCUGAUCCAGCAAUGCCGCGUGCAGGAAGAAGGCCUUCGGGUUGUAAACUGCUUUUGUACGGAACGAAACGGUCUGCUUUAAUACAGUGGGCUAAUGACGGUACCGUAAGAAUAAGCACCGGCUAACUACGUGCCGGCAGCCGCGGUAAUACGUAGGGUGCGAGCGUUAAUCGGAAUUACUGGGCGUAAAGCGUGCGCAGGCGGUUAUAUAAGACAGUUGUGAAAUCCCCGGGCUCAACCUGGGAAUUGCAUCUGUGACUGUAUAGCUAGAGUACGGUAGAGGGGGAUGGAAUUCCGCGUGUAGCAGUGAAAUGCGUAGAUAUGCGGAGGAACACCGAUGGCGAAGGCAAUCCCCUGGACCUGUACUGACGCUCAUGCACGAAGCGUGGGAGCAAACAGGUAUAGAUACCCUGGUAGUCCACGCCCUAAACGAUAUACACUGUUGUUGGUGUNAUAGUAC
rnacentral:rRNA from 1 species